rnacentral:rRNA from 1 species
AUUGAACGCUGGCGGCAGGCCUAACACAUGCAAGUCGAGCGGUAGAGAGAAGCUUGCUUCUCUUGAGAGCGGCGGACGGGUGAGUAAUGCCUAGGAAUCUGCCUGGUAGUGGGGGAUAACGUUCGGAAACGGACGCUAAUACCGCAUAAUGUCUACGGACCAAAGUGUGGGACCUUCGGGCCACAUGCUAUCGGAUGCGC